CGCGGCCCCUCCUCCGAGGCCCCUCAGCUUCCGCAGAUCGCCUCAGAGUGGUCCCAGCGAGAAGAGGGCUGGGUCUUAGUCACGCCAGCGAGGAGGCGACCAAUGGUGACUGAGAUGGGCGUGCUGGGGAAGUCGGGCUCAGACCUCAGCAGGUCGCGGAGAGAAGGGGGAAUGAACUCUUCGAGAGGACUGUCAUGGCUGUUCGGCCAUUCUCAGAUUUCCCCUUGAGACAGGAAAGCUGGUCGUCAGGCCAUGGAAAGCGCUACAAUCAGGGCUCUAGAGCUGUGCUUAAGAUAGACCCUUGAGUACAUUGGCGGAUUAAAAUUAUUCACAAAGGAAUCCUUUUGCUUAAUAGAGACACCUUGAAUGUUAGGGUCGGAAUGAUGACAAUAGCAGGAAUAGAGAUGAUAAGCCAAGGGAUGUGAAGAAGGACAGGAGAGGACAC
rnacentral:lncRNA from 10 species